ACAGGUGCAUAUAUAUCCUACUUGCUCUGUCCAGUGUCCUCCAUAUUAUCUGGUGGAUCCCCAUUAGAACUAUUGGUUUUCAUCUUCUGGUGCUUUCUCUCCUAUGAUAGAGCUUUUCUUUUCCCUUAUAUCUGCUUGCUGGUCAGCUAGGCCUGGUCCUAUUUGCCGUAGCCAAAUCCACUGUCAAAGGAUUUCCUACUGCAAUUGCCAUGGAGAAAACAGCUUCUCUUGCAAAAAGGUUUGGAGGUAAUAUGCUGGAGUGGAUAGCAUCUUCACAUAGUCUUCAAAGAGAGACAAUCUAAUCAGAAUGUAUCUUUCAUCAAUAAGGCCAAUGGUGGCAUUCCCUUUGAUUGUACAUUGUACUGGAAUUACUUCUCUUAGUUUCUUUAUGUCUAUGAUAUCAUAAGAGAAUUUGCCCAAGAUUGCAUAUUGUAAAUCUUCUUUGAUUAUCAUCUGGUGUAUUUCCUUAGAAUUCCAAGUUAUGUAGGUUUCACCGUCUACAAAAUUAACAGUCUUGGAUGGGAUAUUAAUCUGUUGUGUAUUCUGUACUGCUGUUGGAGGCUUCAAAAGAUUUGCAUAAUUCUGUUCUUUAUCUUUUCCGUUGGGCUUAUCUAAAGGGACGUUUAGGGGUUGUGCACUACUGGUUGGUUGGGUUGUUGAUUUUGAAAGACAUGAUGCAGUCAUGGCAUUGUGGGUAUGUUUAAGGGAUGGGAAUGUGGAAAGGUACUGUGAAUGGUUAGGUGGAACAUGCUCCGGUGGAGGCUGUCCACCGGCCGAGGUGGCCAUAGCGGCCGACGGUGGUUGUGGUACUUGAUUGAGAA